rnacentral:rRNA from 1 species
GAUGAACGCUAGCUACAGGCUUAACACAUGCAAGUCGAGGGGCAGCAUGAAGUUUGCUUGCAAACUUUGAUGGCGACCGGCGCACGGGUGCGUAACGCGUAUGCAACCUGCCCGCGACAGGGGGAUAACCGGCGGAAACGCCGACUAAUACCCCGUAACGCGCGGAGCCGCAUGACUCUGCGCUGAAAGCCUUGGUGGUCGCGGAUGGGCAUGCGUGGCAUUAGGUAGUUGGCGGGGCAACGGCCCACCAAGCCAUCGAUGCCUAGGGGAGCUGAGAGGCUAAUCCCCCACACUGGUACUGAGACACGGACCAGACUCC